GCAUCCAUGGCUGAAUGGUGAAAGCGCCCACCAAAUGGGUCAAAAAGUAGGUUCGAUUCCUGCCGGAUGCA
rnacentral:tRNA from 1 species